rnacentral:misc_RNA from 1 species
GAAAUGCGAUAAGUAAUGUGAAUUGCAGAAUUCAGUGAAUCAUCGAGUCUUUGAACGCACAUUGCGCCCCGCGGUACGCUGCGGGGCAUGCCCGUCUCAGCGUCAUCAAGAUAGCACAUCAAGCUGGGUUUAUCCCAACGGGUUUUCCCGGCUUGGACCGCGUCACGGUAGGCGAAGAGCAUUUCCGCAUGUCCCGCCUCCGUGGAAAACGAUUCCUCAGCGGUCAGGGAAAAAAGACCUUUGGUCCUUGUUGGCUGGAUGUGAUAAGCCUGUAGACUUUAUCCACGUCCCCAUCGGCCGCGGGCCCUGACUCGAACCUCUCUCUCUGUUUGCGCAAGCAGCUGAAGAAUGAAGCCUUUGACCUGAGAUCGGGUAGGGAUACCCGCUGAACUUAA